CAGCAAAUGUCAAGUUUACAAGUAUCGGCAAUUAUUUUAUUUUUCUUCAAAGCAAGCGGCUCUGCCGAAAAAAUUAAACAAAUCAAAUUUACAGCAAAAAGAAAAGAAAUAAAAGAAAGAAAGAUACACAUAUUAGAAGCUUAGACUGCCGAAACCUUACAUACGUGCAUUACACCAUAGUUUCUUUUACGGAAAAGGAAAUAAUGGAUAUAUAGAGAAUGCAAACGACUCAAGCUGCAGGCCAUUGAGAGCAGUAUUCUCUUGCGGGAUGUUCUUAGAUAAUUCUCAUUUUUCUAUAUUCACAAGCGCCACCAACCAGUCUAUGUGCGAAGUUCAAAUUCUUUACAUAUGAUUUAUCUAUGUCGAACAUUCUACUAUCGGAUUAUUUUUAAUGAGUUAUGUUUUUCGGUGUUGGCAGCACUGUUUGAUAAACGUCAUCUGUGGAAGUGAUAAGUGUUCAGUAUACUCUGCCCUUUCAUCAUCGAGAAACUUACAAACCUGAAACAACUUCAAAUCGUAGAAUUUUUUUAUUAUAUUCGUGCAAGAUUUAACAAAAAAUUCUGUUUAGCGAAGAGAUUCAUUUCUGGCUAAAUGGAACGGUUGCUCCCCACCCCUCUUACGUUUUAUCGGAGUAAUAAAGCUAUAAAGGCCUGUUCCGGUUUCCGAAAACGCAAAACGAAGGAUUUUCUUAGCCACAUAUCUUGCAAACCUUGCCAUAUCUAUGCUGGAAUGUAUAUUAUCAUCAAAUUUCUAUAUAGUAAGAGGAACCUCAACUGAUAUCAAAACAUAAAAGAAGAAUACCUAAAAAAAUAUAGGCAAACAAUUUUUUUUCCUUCUUCAAAUUCGAAAACUGAAACGGGCCUGAUGGUUUAAAAUAUCUUAAUUUACAAAAAAGUUAUAACAAAUUUUUAUGUAUAUAUUUAUUUUGUUUAUUAAACGCAUCAAAAAUA